rnacentral:rRNA from 1 species
AACGAACGCUGGCGGCAGGCUUAACACAUGCAAGUCGAACGCCCCGCAAGGGGAGUGGCAGACGGGUGAGUAACGCGUGGGAACAUACACUUCCCUGCGGCAUAGCUCUGGGAAACUGGAAUUAAUACCGCAUCCGCCCUACGGGGGAAAGAUUUAUCGGGGAAGGAUUGGCCCGCGUUGGAUUAGCUAGGUGGUGGGGUAAAGGCCUACCACGGCGACGAUCCAUAGCUGGUCUGAGAGGAUGAUCAGCCACAUUGGGACUGAGACACGGCCCAAGAUCCGACGGGAGGCAGCAGUGGGGAAUAGUGGACAAUGGGCGUAAGCUGUAUCAAUCCAUGCCGCGUGAGUGAUGAAGGGCUUAGGGUAGUAAAGCUCUUUCACCGAUGAAGAUAAUGACGGUAGUCGAAGAAGAAGCCCCGGCUAACUUCGUGCCAGCCGCCGCCGUAAGAC